rnacentral:rRNA from 1 species
AGUGAACGCUGGCGGUAAGCCUAACACAUGCAAGUCGAACGGCAGCACAGUAAGAGCUUGCUCUUACGGGUGGCGAGUGGCGGACGGGUGAGGAAUACAUCGGAAUCUACUUUUUCGUGGGGGAUAACGUAGGGAAACUUACGCUAAUACCGCAUACGACCUACGGGUGAGAGCAGGGGAUCUUCGGACCUUGCGCGAUUGAAUGAGCCGAUGUCGGAUUAGCUAGUUGGCGGGGUAAAGGCCCACCAAGGCGACGAUCCGUAGCUGGUCUGAGAGGAUGAUCAGCCACACUGGAACUGAGACACGGUCCAGACUCCUACGGGAGGCAGCAGUGGGGAAUAUUGGACAAUGGGCGCAAGCCUGAUCCAGCCAUACCGCGUGGGUGAAGAAGGCCUUCGGGUUGUAAAGCCCUUUUGUUGGGAAAGAAAAGCAGCAGGUUAAUACCCCGCUGUUCUGACGGUACCCAAAGAAUAAGCACCGGCUAACUUCGUG